ACGAACGCUGGCGGCGUGCUUAACACAUGCAAGUCGAACGGUGAAGCGCCUUCCUUUUUGGUGGGUGAGGAUGAGUGGCGAACGGGUGAGUAACACGUGAGUAACCUGCCCCCUUCUUCUGGAUAACCGAAUGAAAGUGUGGCUAAUACGGGAUAUUCUGGGUCUGUCGCAUGAUGGGUCUGGGAAAGAUAUUGUUUCGGUGGGGGAUGGGCUCGCGGCCUAUCAGCUUGUUGGUGGGGUGAUGGCCUACCAAGGCGGUGACGGGUCGCCGGCCGUAGAUGGUGGACGGUCUCACGUGUGCUGAUACUCGUCUCAGACGCCUUCGGGAGUUAGCUGUGGGGAAUAUUGCACAAUGGGCGCAAGCCUGAUGCAGCGACGCCGCGUGAGGGAUGGAGGCUUGUGGGUUUUGAACCUCUUUUGCCAGUGAAGCAGGCCUGCCUCGUUUGUGGGUGGGUUGACGGUAGCUGGAUAAGAAGCGCCGGCUAACUACGUG
rnacentral:rRNA from 1 species